CGGAAGCGAAAGCUCUAAGCUAAAUAUACAAUACACCUGAUAUUUGAUUAAAUUUAAACCAAAUACAAGUAAAACUAUUACAAUUCCAUUCAACCAUCAUAUCUUUUACAUUUAGUCAUCCACCAAACACAUGCUUGUUUACAACUUUACAUCUCACUAAUUCAACAAAAUAAAGUUGAUACGUAUACACCAAAAGGGGAAUGACUACAAAAUGCAUAAUGUCCCGGUGGCCGCUAUCUACGGCGCUAUACCCUUGCCUCGGUCCUCCGCCGCCCCGUCGUGUAGGACUGGUAGGGUUAGUGGUGUGAGAACUAAACAAGUUCAGUGGGCUCCCCGGCAUCCACUCGCCGAGUUACCACUAGGUCUAUAAGAUAAGUUUUCAAAGGGGAGGGAAGUAUAACACUUAUAUGCGAUGGACUAAUAUUAUGCUGAAGGAAAGAUGUCAACAGAUAAUAAUUCAAUGCGAUAUUAGAAAUGAUGCUGCGUCAAUUGAUAAUAUGCUUGGCUUUACCAAUCUUGCUGGUAAACCCUGUUAACCCAUAAAAUAUCACAACCAAUCUUUAAUAACAGGGACUCGAAACCUCGCUAGGGACGUAAAUGGUGGGACUUUUCCUGUUCAGUGGUGACACUCGAUGGAGCGCAGCUCGGAGGGAGGACCCUUAGCCAAGAGUAAUGUGGUAUCGAUCUAAAUCCCAUUGAGGAUUAUAGCACUGGUCACAUGCCGGAUGAGAUAGGUCUUACCUAUUAUUAUUGCAUGUCAAGGCAUUACGUGAUGAUGCCUAAUUUGUGUUAACUUGUUUAAGUUUAUUUCAUUUUCAUCUUUCUUGUCAAUGUCACCUUGUAUUUCUUUUGUCAAGUCAGCUCAAAUUCAACUUGAGGGUCAAGUCACAUUAUGUGCCAUUUUGUUCUAUCGUCAAUAUAUUUUCAACUACGUUUAGAAAUUAAUGAGUCACAAGUUCACAUGUAUUACCUACAUAUGCAUGAAUGGUAAGAUAUACAGUAUAUGCAAGAAUAGAGAAAACGCUAGGAGGAAUCACGAUUACGGGGUGCACCCCACUCUAAGUCCGGUGUUGUGGGGUAGAAUAUGUAUAGGCUCGACUUUACGGAAAGUGAUUGUGACUAUAUCAAAUAGUGCAUAUAGGCCUUUUUAUAUAAACUAUACCUUAACAUUUUGUAAUGUUACGGAGUGUCCAACGUGUUUAGGCCCCCAUUAGUUUACGUGUCAAUUGGUCCCGAAAAUCUUAGGCAAAAGAUCCCAAUUUCGAGUCCUAACCAUGUCUCAUUGUUUUAUGAUCCGAUGAACCCUAAGCAAGGAAUGCUAGGAUCAUCUAGAAGUCAUCUAGUAGUUCUAGAACCUUGAGAACACUAGGGCUUUAUGGAAAACCUACUCAACCACCAUGGAGCACUUGAGCUAUAUGGGUUCCAUUGGUGUGUUGCAGAUUAAUGAAGGUAUGGCCAAAAACAAAGCUCCAAAUCAUAGGGAUUAAAACCAAGCCCUAGACUCAUUUCUACCAAAAACUCACCUGAGCCCAAGCCCCUCCAAGUCCUUCUUGUAGGAGAGCUUGUAGAACCCACCAAAGCCUCCAACUCCACCUUCCCUUGCUUCUUCUUCUUCUUCUCCAAGCCCUAGAGCAAGAGUUCUAGAGAGAGAAAGAGAGGAAAUGGGAGAGAAGGGUGAAAAUGGCUGUGGGAGAGAGAGGGGUGUCCAAAUAUAGUGUUGUGACAAUUGCAUUUAAGCCCCUCAACUUGUUUCCCCUUGAUCUGCCCAGACUGGGCGUUUUUCGCCUUCGGGGACCGAUCUCCCCGACCAGGGACCGGUUCCUGAACGUGGGUGUUCCAGGACUUAGCCAAAUUUUCGAGUUUUUCGGCUGUUGCGCAGCGAGGGACCGGUCUGCCCCUUCAGGGACCGGUCUCCCGAGGACUGGUCUCACCACCAGGGACCGGUUGCCUCAGGACUUCCUGGCAGGCUACGCGUACGGGGACCGGUCUCUCUUUCAGGGACCGGUCCCCGAGAGCAGAAAAUUUGGGACUUAGCCAGAUUUCCAGAUUACUCUCUCGGGUCCUUUUUAGCCUCACUUAUGGACUCUAAUGUGCUUAGGGUCCACUCAAACUCAUUCAUUUCCGCGUUUCGCUCGUUUCGACGGAACUCGGCACGAUUUACGAGGGAUGUGGUAUGUUACAGGUUAAACUCAGGCGGAUAUCCCUCGGCAAAGAUAGCCGCCGCUGCUAGGUUGCGACAAUUUUGAUGGUAGUCUUGCCAGAUUUCUGAAUCCCUUGAAGCCGCAUGAGCCGGGGCCAGCGGUACUGGGGCUCGUAGCAUAUAAACGCACUACGGUCCGACGCCCGACUGCCUUGGUCCUUCCAUGCUCCGCUCGUUGUGACCUCGUAACCUUUCCUUGGUGGUUCAUCGGUCCUGAAAUCAAUGCCACAACAUUAGUAUCGAAGCACGUGACCUCACACGUUCAAAUAAACUACCCAUUAAGCUAAAGCACAAGCUAAUAAUUUCCGACUUCGGUGUUAUGAUGGUCGGCCGCCCACAAUGUCCUUUUAUAACAACAAUUAAGCCUUCUAAUCCAUCUCUAUUCUUCUAGAGAAUUUUAGUUACCACAAUCAUUCGACUUUCGCUAAGCCAGUUCACUGUUAAAAGAUAGGUUUCUAGCUCCUAAGGUUCUCCAUAGCUAUUGUUCUUACGUCAUUCUGACUUUUGCUAUUCCACUUCUCUUGAUACCUAUUAUUGUACAAGAACGCCCAAUUCCCCGCCAAUAUUUGUCCGGUUCGGGUCACCUGUCAACAGACGCCGGAUACGGACAGAGAGCUCCCUGUCCGCCCAAGGCUUAUACAAACAAGUUUAAUAAAUAGGGCAAUAACAGCGAAUAGCAUAAUAUUAUCCAAAGGCUUGCAAACGAGGGCAAGCAGACACGGAAGGAAGAGCUCUAAAGUGAGAUAUACAAUACACCUGUUAUUGAUUAAAUUUUAAACCAAAUACAGGGAUGUUAAAUAUAUUAACAAUUCAUUCACUCAUAUCUUUUACCUUUAGUAGUCACCAAACACAUGCUUGUUUACAACUUUAAUCUCACUAUUCACAAAAUAAGUUAGAUACGUAUACCAAAAAGGUCGGAAUUGACUACAGAAUGCAUAAUGUUCCCGUGGCGCUAUCUACGGCCCGCCGUAUACCUUGCUCGGGUCCUACCAGAGCCGCCACGCUCGUGUAGGACCUGUUAGGGUUAGUGGUGUGAGAAGCUAAAUAAACAAAGUUCCUAGGGUCGAGAAUCCGACUUCGACGACUACCACUUACAGUCUAUCCAGGCCAUAGAUAUUUCAAAGGAGGGGAAGUAAACCCAUCUUAUGCGACUAUACUAUCUGUGACCAAGAAAGAGGUCAAAGUACUAAUUCAAUGCGAGAUAAUUAGAAAUUGAGAUGGCAAGUGAUAAUUCAAUAAUAUCUGGUUGCUCUUACCCAAUCUUGCCGGUUCCCCUGUUAACCCAAAGCUCACAACCCCAAAAUUCACUUAAUAACGGGGGACUCGAACUCGCUAGGGUAACGUCAGAUGAGUGGUUUAUUUUCCUCGCCAAGAAGUGGUGACAUCUGGGAGCGCACCGUCGAGGGGGAGGGAAUCCCUUCAAGGCCAAGACGUAUGUGUACGAUCUAUCCCCAACUUGAGGAUACUAUGCACUGUCACAUGCGAUGUCAUGAUUGGUCUACUACAUAUUUCAUUCUUGCCCUCUCAAGCCGGUCCCAUGAUGCUGCACUAAUUUUGGUAAACUUGUAUUAACGGUUUUAUCCUUCAUGCUCAAUCUUAUUUCGUAAUAGUCAAUGUCACCUUGUUUUCUAUUGGUCAAGUCAACUCACAUUUCACACAUCAUUGAGGGUCCAAUAACAUGUCAAUUUUGGUUUCUAUCGGUCCACUUAUAGUUAAACUACUUUAGAAAAUAUAAUGAAGUUCAAAACCAGUUCCCAAUGUAUCUACCCUAUAUGCGAUGAAGGGAUAUAUAUAUCAUAUAUGUCAAAGAAUAGAGAAAACAGACAUAAGGAGGGGAAUCCAACGAUUCCGGCUGUUGCACCCCAAACUAUAUCGGUCGUGGGAGUGUUAGAAUAUGAAGGCUCCCGCACUUUACGAAAGAAGACACGAUUACCGUGCCUAUAAUCAAUGUGCAUAUUUAGCCUUUGUACUAACUAGAACUUUAACAUUUGUAAUGUGUAAACGGAGUUGUAAACGUGUUUAGGAUCCCAAUGAGAUUUUACGGGGUCAAUAUUCGUCUCCAUGAAAAAUCCUAGGGCAAAGCUCCUAUUUUCAAGUCUCACCUACAUGUCAUAUAGUAGGAGUGAUUUCUCUCCAUGAAUACUUAAUCCCAACCUAAGACAAGCAAUAGCUUAGAUCAUACUAUAAAGCAUCCUAGUAAGCGUUUAACCCUUGGAACCAACCUAGGGCUUCUAUUGGCAAAACCCUACCCACACAUAGAGAGCAUUGUAGCUCUCAUGGUUUCCCUGUGUUCAAGGCAUAUAGAAGGCUUCAUGGGCCAAGAAACACCCAAAGCUUCAAAUCAUAGAGGAGGCAUGACCGUAAACUCAUAAUGGCCAUACCGCGUACGGUAUGCCGUCUUGUGCACAUCUUUGGGACGUAUCUUCAAUUGAUGAUACCCCGAGUGCAGAUCAAUCUUUGAAUAUACCCUUGACCCCUGCAACUGGUCGAACAGGGCAUCAAUUCUCGGCAAGGGGUAUUUAUUCUUGAUCGUCACUCUAUUUAACUCGCGAUAAUCGACGCAGAGUCGUAGUGUGCCAUCUUUCUUCUUUACAAAUAGCACCGGAGCUCCCCACGGGGACACGCUCGGCCGUACGAAGCCUUUAUCGAGCAAGUCUUGUAAUUGAGCUUUCAAUUCCUUCAACUCCACCGGUGCCAUUUUAUACGGAGCCUUCGAAAUUGGCGCCGCCCCGGGAAUCAAGUCAAUGACGAACUCGACUUCCCGAUCCGGGGGCAAUCCUGGUAGUUCGGCUGGGAAUACCUCCGGAUACUCCCGCACAACUCGAAUACUUUCCAGUUCCGGGUAUUCCUUUGGAGGGUCUACGAUGGUCGCCAAAUAAGCCUUACAACCAUCCUUGAUCAUCCUUUUCGCCCUCACUGUCGAUACAGUGGCUGCGAAGCGCUUGCCUUUACAUGCCCGAUAGACAAACUCCUCUUGGUUGGGUUCACGGAACGUGAUCACCCUCCUUUCGCAAUCUAUGACCGCGUAGUACUUGGAGAGCCAAUUGAUCCCCAAGAUUACUUCGAAGCCCCACAUUUUCUUCAACACUAGAAGGUCGAUCGGCAUAAUCCAAUCACCUAUUUGCACUGGACAGUCCAAGCACUCAUCGUAGACGUCGAUCGAGUGCUCGGAAGUGUUCACCAACCAAUACUCCUCAUUAUGAGUGAUCUCUAUAUUAUGAGCUUGUGCAAAUGAUGCUAAUAUGAAUGAAUGAGAUGCAUCCGUAUCGAAUAUAGCUCUAGCUCUAGUGCCUCUGAUCAGAAUAAUACCUGCCACCACGUCGUCGGGAACUACGAUCGGCUGCUCCUCCACCUGAGUGGCAAAAACCCGCCCACUAGGUGCUCGAGAAGCCUCCGGCUGACGAAGCGCCGACGAUGGUCCAGCAGAUACGGCGGGUGGCAGUCCCGCCAGCUGCCGCUGUGUGUACUGGACUGAAGCUGAUGACGGGGCUGGGGAUGCGCCGCCCGGGCACUCUCGGCUCAUGUGCCCCGGUUGGCCACAUCGGUAACACCGCCCCUCCCGCUGUGGGCAACUGGUGGCUCUAUGCUCUCCACCGCAUAUCACACACGGGUAGGUAAUCUGGCCCUGUAUCUGACUCCUACCUCCCCGCCAUUGUGAUUGUUGUGGUCGCGGGGGUCGCUUAGAACUCGACUGCCCCGCCGAUCCACCAGCCGGUCGCUUCUUGGACUUAUCUCUUUCCCUGUCUUUCUCAAAGGUCUCGCGUUCAUCACGCGCGAUUGCAUUCCCACACUCCACCCAAAGCGCGCGAUCAAGCACUUCCUCGUAGGUCUUCAAGCGGAAUGCAUGAACAACCUUGAAAAUCUCGGGUCGCAACCCGCGCUCAAACACCUCCGCUUGGUCCCUAUCUCCAUGAACCAAGUCCGGCACACAGUUAAUCAUGUGCGUGAACUCUCUCUCGUACUCCCGCACUGAUCGGCUUCCCUGCCUCAACUUUCGAAAAUCAUCCUUGAUUUUUCUUUUGUCGCUCUCGGGAAAAUACUCCAUAAGCAGCAUCUCCCGAAACGCCUCCCAAGAAAUAUAAGCGUGCUCCAGCGAGCGACUUCUCUUCGCUUGGUUCCACCAUAACCGAGCUGACCCAUCGAAACAAUGAGCCGCAAGGUGCACUUUGUCCUUCUCAAGCGUAUAAAUAUCCUCAAACAACGCUUCUAUCGCAGCCAGCCAAUUCUCCGUCGUCCACGGAUCCUUCACGUCGCCGACAAAGUUGGAAGGUUGAACCGCUUGAAUGCCAUUAACGCCGCCAACGUAUGCUCCUGCUCGGCCUCAAGUACUUCGGGGAUAGGAGCUGAUGAACACGAAGCCGUCGGAGGAACAGUCGUCAUUGGCGCCGCCGCCCCCCGCAGGGGGUGGUGCUACAGGAGCAGCCGGUGCAGGCGGAUCCCUCGGCAAAGAUGCCGCCGCUGCCUGUUGCGCCAUCAUUUCAUGGAGCUGCCCAAUCUGCUCCCCUUGAAGCCGCAUAGCCCCGGCCAACGCCGCUACCUGGGCUCGCAGCUCACGCACGUCGUCCGACCCCGACUGCCCUGGCUCCUUCCGAGGCUCCGCCGGUGUGGACCUCGUAACCUUCCUUGGUGGUGCCAUCGCGUCCUGAAACGCAAUGCACACACACAUUAGUACUCGAAGCACGUGACCCUCACACGUUCCAAAUAACUACCCAAUUAAGCGAAAGCACAAGCCUAAUAAUUUCCACUCUCGGUGUUAUGUGGUCGGCCGCCCCACAUAGUCCCUUAAGUAGACAACAAUUAAGCCUUCUAAUCCAUCUCUACUUCCUUCUAGAGAAGUGUUAUAGUUAACCCAAUCAUUCGCUUUCGCAUAAGCCAAGUUCACGUUAAGCGUUUCCUAAGCUCCUAAGGUCUCCAAGCCUAUGAUUCUUACGUCAUUCCUAAACUUUUGCUUUCCACUUCUCUCUGAUACCAUUAUAUCUGUCACGCCCCAAUCCCCGCCAAUUUGGUCGGGUUCGGGUCACGUCAACAGACGCCGAACGGACAGAGCCUCCCCUGUCCGCCCAAGGCUCUUACAACAAGUAUAAAUAGGCAAUCAACAAGCGAAUUGCAUAUAUAAUACAAGGCUUGCACGAGGGCAAGCAACAACGGAAGCGAAAGCUCUAAGCUAAAUAUACAAUACACCUGAUAUUUGAUUAAAUUUAAACCAAAUACAGGUAAAACUAUUACAAUUCCAUUCAACCAUCAUAUCUUUUACAUUUAGUCAUCCACCAAACACAUGCUUGUUUACAACUUUACAUCUCACUAAUUCAACAAAAUAAAGUUGAUACGUAUACACCAAAAGGGGAAUGACUACAAAAUGCAUAAUGUCCCGGUGGCCGCUAUCUACGGCGCUAUACCCUUGCCUCGGUCCUC
rnacentral:lncRNA from 1 species